rnacentral:tRNA from 1 species
GGCAGGUUGCCCGAGCGGCCAAUGGGAGCGGACUGUAAAUCCGUCGGCGCAAGCCUACACAGGUUCGAAUCCUGUACCUGCCACCA